CUUAAUAUCACAGACUUAACUUCAUACUUCAAAUCGUUUUACUGGUGAUUGAUAACAAGAUAUUGGUUAAUAGCAAAUUCUGAUUUGGUGUUUAUACAGUUUUUGGAUGGAAGGGUUAUAUUCGUAGAAGAAGCUAAAAGCAGAUCAGAUAUCUCCAGAGGUAAACCCAGACCAGACUACCCCAAAGCUCAAUCAAAACCUCGCACCUUUCGUACGUGGUAGCUGUUUUGAUUCUGUCUUCAUACUGUGUAAUGAAUUGUAAAAUUUUGAUCUACCUUCUUAGAUUAUACAAUGGAGUCACUUGUCAACUCCUACCAUGGUUUUACUAGUCUAAACUAAAAUUAACAUUUUUAAAAAUAACAUUUGCCAUGUCAAAAAAUGCAUAAUAUAGCCUUCAAAAUAUAUUUUUCCUUACGAUUAAUAAUUUUACUUAUGAAUCACAGUUUGUGAUAGAAAAUAAUUUCAAAUCAAAAAUUAGGCUUUACCUAUGUUGACGAAUCAAUGAUAAUGUAGCAGAUGACAAAAAAAAAAAAAUAUUACUUAUUCUUUUCAGAAUCUACCUACAUUAUUUGUGUUAAUUAUAUUGGUCCAAUUUACCAAAAAAAAAAACGUAUAUGUGAAGUACCAAAAUUACCCUCAAUAAAUCAAAGUUUUGUGUAGUAAGUUGAGGGGAUAGGGUCCGGCGAAGAAGGAGAAGAUGACAAUGGCAGUGAGCUUAGGGAUAGUUGUCGUUCCGUCGUGUUCCGGAGAUCGCCUCUUCCGAUCUAACUUCUCGGCCGUCUGUAGCGUCUCUUGCGGCCGAAUCAAUGUCGGAACCGUCGUAAUUUCGACUCGCCGACGCCGUGAUAUGGGCGGGUUAAUGAUUUCUAGCUGUAUCUCUUCGGAUUCUUCUUCUUCUUCGUCAUCGUCUUCCUCUGUGCCAAAGACGAAACUCUUUGUUAGUGGUAAGUAAGUUUUAUGUUUCCAGUUUCUUCAUCUGCUCAUCACCCCAAUUCGUGAAAGAUGCUUCUGUUAUGGAAUUUUGUUGUUAUAUACUCUGUGAUUCUUUUAGUGUUUCGUUAAGUAGUAUUCAAUUAAAUUCUGCGGCUGUUCACUGAGGAUAUAGACAUUGAGAGCAACCCUGUCAUUUUCUUUGAUAAACUUAGAAGUUAGGAUAUCUCCAAAACCUUAAGAGCGAUGACAUUUGUGGCGCUUGCUUGUCACCAAUUACAUAGUUAACAAUUUUACAUGUUAAAAUCCUUUGUUGGGUGUUUAAAAAUGUAGAGUGAAAGGUAUGACAAACUUUUCCAGGGUGUAGAACCUUUCAGUUUGUUGUGGUAUAGCCUGACUCCUUGAGGAAAUGUCUCUGUUUGGUUUCUUUCAGGAAUAGGUCUGAAAUCGGAGACUAUUAGAGUUACUUUUUAUAUGUUUACAGUGUUUGUACCUAAGACAUUGUCAGAUUUGUUGUAAAGACAGGGAAUGAUUUUGGUUGGUGUGGAAGUAGAAUAAAUGGGUGUGAAGUUUUGAACUUCUGAUGAUCUGGGGAGAUUGAUAUCUUUAUUGUGUUAAUUGUGUUUGCUUUCAUUCGUUAUUGGACCUUGUGGUAUCACUCAGUAUUAUAGCUAAAUCGUUGUGAAUUAGAGCUUUAGACAGUGUUAAUGCUCUUUUAUGGUUUUAUCCACUUUUCACCUCUCUGCUUUCACCACAUGAGACUUGAACUCGAAACAAUAUGGACUUGAUUUUGUUGUUUUUGCACAGGGCUUUCAUUCCGGACAACUGAAGAUACCUUACGGGAUACAUUUGAACAGUUUGGCAAGCUUGUACACAGUAAGCAUAAAGCUCACUUUUGUUCUACUUCUGUCCACAUUCUACAAGUGUGUAACUCAUGUUCUUGCCUGCGUCCCCUCGUGUAGUGAACUUGGUGAUGGAUAAGGUAGCUAAUAGACCAAAAGGUUUUGCCUUCCUACGAUAUGACACAGAGGAGGAGGCUAUGAAAGCUAUUGAAGGGAUGCACGGAAAGGUAUACAGCUUAAUAUCACAGACUUAACUUCAUACUUCAAAUCGUUUUACUGGUGAUUGAUAACAAGAUAUUGGUUAAUAGCAAAUUCUGAUUUGGUGUUUAUACAGUUUUUGGAUGGAAGGGUUAUAUUCGUAGAAGAAGCUAAAAGCAGAUCAGAUAUCUCCAGAGGUAAACCCAGACCAGACUACCCCAAAGCUCACAGACUACCCCAAAGCUCAAUCAAAACCUCGCACCUUUCGUACGUGGUAGCUGUUUUGAUUCUGUGUUCAUACUGUGUAAUGAAUUGUAAAAUUUUGAUCUACCUUCUUAGAUUAUACAAUGGAGUCACUUGUCAACUCCUACUAUGGUUUUACUAGUCUAAACUAAAAUUAACAUUUUUAAAAAUAACAUUUGCCAUGUCAAAAAAUGCAUAAUAUAGCCUUCAAAAUAUAUUUUUCCUUACGAUUAAUAAUUUUACUUAUGAAUCACAGUUUGUGAUAGAAAAUAAUUUUAAAUCAAAAAUUAGGCUUUAC
rnacentral:lncRNA from 1 species